GUCGUAACAAGGUUUCCGUUGGUGAACCAGCGGAGGGAUCAUUACCGAGUUUACAACUCCCAAACCCAAUGUGAACGUUACCAAACUGUUGCCUCGGCGGGAUCUCUGCCCCGGGUGCGUCGCAGCCCCGGACCAAGGCGCCCGCCGGAGGACCAACCAAAACUCUUUUUGUAUACCCCCUCGCGGGUUUUUUAUAAUCUGAGCCUUCUCGGCGCCUCUCGUAGGCGUUUCGAAAAUGAAUCAAAACUUUCAACAACGGAUCUCUUGGUUCUGGCAUCGAUGAAGAACGCAGCGAAAUGCGAUAAGUAAUGUGAAUUGCAGAAUUCAGUGAAUCAUCGAAUCUUUGAACGCACAUUGCGCCCGCCAGUAUUCUGGCGGGCAUGCCUGUCCGAGCGUCAUUUCAACCCUCGAACCCCUCCGGGGGGUCGGCGUUGGGGAUCGGCCCUGCCUCUUGGCGGUGGCCGUCUCCGAAAUACAGUGGCGGUCUCGCCGCAGCCUCUCCUGCGCAGUAGUUUGCACACUCGCAUCGGGAGCGCGGCGCGUCCACGGCCGUUAAACACCCAACUUCUGAAAUGUUGACCUCGGAUCAGGUAGGAAUACCCGCUGAACUUAAGCAUAUCAAUAAGCGGAGGA
rnacentral:rRNA from 1 species